UACGGAGGGGGCUAGCGUUGUUCGGAAUUACUGGGCGUAAAGCGCGCGUAGGCGGAUCUGCAAGUCGGGGGUGAAAUCCCGAGGCUCAACCUCGGAACUGCCUUCGAUACUGCGGGUCUCGAGUCCGGGAGAGGUGAGUGGAAUUCCGUAGUGUAGAGGUGAACUUCGUAGAUAUUAGGAAGAACACCAGUGGCGAAGGCGGCUCACUGGCCCGGUACUGGACGCUG
rnacentral:rRNA from 1 species